rnacentral:tRNA from 1 species
GAGGGUAUAGCUCAGUGGUAGAGCGCCUGCCUAACAUGCACAAGGUUCUGGGUUCACCCCCAGUACGUCCA